rnacentral:pre_miRNA from 1 species
GUAUGGUGUUCAGUACCAAGGACAGCCUUAUUUGCCAGUGUGUUGAUGGUGUUUGGCACCAAGGACAGGUUUGUUCACCC